UGGGGAAUUUUGGACAAUGGGGGAAACCCUGAUCCAGCCAUCCCGCGUGUGCGAUGAAGGCCUUCGGGUUGUAAAGCACUUUUGGCAGGAAAGAAACGUCGUGGGUUAAUACCCCGCNAAACUGACGGUACCUGCAGAAUAAGCACCGGCUAACUACGUGCCAGCAGCCGCGGUAAUACGUAGGGUGCAAGCGUUAAUCGGAAUUACUGGGCGUAAAGCGUGCGCAGGCGGUUCGGAAAGAAAGAUGUGAAAUCCCAGAGCUUAACUUUGGAACUGCAUUUUUAACUACCGGGCUAGAGUGUGUCAGAGGGAGGUGGAAUUCCGCGUGUAGCAGUGAAAUGCGUAGAUAUGCGGAGGAACACCGAUGGCGAAGGCAGCCUCCUGGGAUAACACUGACGCUCAUGCACGAAAGCGUGGGGAGCAAACAGGAUUAGAUACCCUGGUAGUCCACGCCCUAAACGAUGUCAACUAGCUGUUGGGGUCUUCGGACCUUGGUAGGCGCAGCUAACGCGUGAAGUUACCGCCUGGGGAGUACGGUCGCAAGAUUAAAACUCAAAGGAAUGAC
rnacentral:rRNA from 1 species